UACGAGAGGCCCAAACGUUAUUCGGAUUUACUGGGCUUAAAGAGUUCGUAGGCGGUCCAUCAAGUGGGGUGUGAAAUCCCUCGGCUCAACCGGGGAACUGCGUCUGAUACUGGGUGGCUUGAAUCCGGGAGAGGGAUGCGGAAUUCCUGGUGUAGCGGUGGAAUGCGCAGAUAUCAGGAGGAACACCGGUGGCGAAGGCGGGUCUCUGGGCCGUAACUGACGCUGAGGAGCGAAAGCAUGGGGAGCGAACAGG
rnacentral:rRNA from 1 species